AUUUUGUUUAGGACAUUGUGGAUUUAGUGCUGCCUAUUUCAGGUUUAUUUAGGGUUAUUUUGGGCGUCACUGACACCUAUGCCUUCAAGUAGGUUUGCACAUGACUCGUUCAUUUUGAAAGACAGAAAUGAGACAUCUUUGAGUAAUUGACAUUGACAUAUCUAGAUGAUCGUGUAGGAGGAGAAAAUUCUGGUUGAUUCAAGAAUUUGGAAAUUUUGGUUUUUUAAUUAUUUUUUAUUUUAAUGCUAAAUGAGCUCUAACUGACACUUGCUAGAAGUGUCGGCACUGGUACAGAAUUUAGGAGUUGAAAAUUGUUUCACCGUAAAACUGAAGAAUGUAAAAUAUACUAGAAAGCUAAUUUUAGUAUCGUGUUUAUCACUUCUUAAUCCUCGUACACCAUACCUACUUUUUGACUUGAAUCUUUUUGUGUUGAAAUGGUCACAUGAGGUUGGAUUUUUUUGUUUGAAACUGCUGAUCAAAUAGGGGUAUUCAUUUGAGAUUGUUAUAACCACCUAGAUGUUGUGAACCAACAGUGUGAAUACUUUUUAAUGAACGGCAUUUUCUUACCAGAGCUGCUUUUGUUUGUUCAACCACCAAUUUUGAAAUAUCAUAUGCAACAAUGGAUCAUUGAUUUGGAGUUAAGUUUAAUAAAAAAGAAGCAGAGAUCAGACGCUUCAAAAAGCAGAUAGCUCAGAUUGAAGCAGAUAUGCAUAAAACUCCCGAUCCAUGGGCACACCCUCAUACUUUUUCUUUUUCCAGAAAUCAAAAUCCAUUCAUGGUCACACCGGCACCAACCUUGUCACCAUUUGGAAUGUUUUUCUCUGAAUCAUCCCCAUCUUAUUAUCCUUCACCUUUCCUCUCAAAAUCACCUUCUCAACCUUUUAAACCAGAACCUAGCCUCUCUCCUCUUCUGAUGAAUCCUUGCAUCAAAAAACUGAUAAAGGAAAAGCUCAUAUGCAUCCUGAGCAGGAAAAGCUCCUAUGCAUCCUGAGCCCCCUCACAGCACAUGGCUCAUGUCUCUGAUCCAAUUCUUAAUGAAGGAUUUGAUAAAUCAGAUGAUGAUUUUUAACCUCUGAUUCAGACAACGAAGACCAAAUGGCAGAUAUUACUACUCUGCUCAUGGCAGAUCCCAUUGGACCAUCUGCUUCCACAGGCUCUAAUACAGGAACCACUACGGAACCUGUUAAUGACCCCCAUGUUGAACAUCCCAUUGAUGAAGAUGUUGAAGAACUUUCCUUUGCUCCUCCAAAUACUCAACAGUCCACAAAACUAGGUGUAGGUCAUUGGUUUACUCUUGAUGACAUUCCACCAUCAAAAUGGAGAGCAAGAAUUGUAGAAUUCAAAGCAUGGAUGGAAGUUCAAAUGCUUAAAGCUGAUGUAGAUUCUCAUGUGGUCCUUAGAGAAUUUGUCUCCAGAACAAUUGGCUCAUUGCAAGAAUGGUUCUCUUCUUUAGGAGAAUACCAUCUUGCUCAAUUUUACCGUUUCAGUGUCCUAGCUGCCAUCAAUGCCAUAUUUACAUAAUUCUUAGGAGAUGCAACUAUCUACAACAAACAGCUUCGUCAAGAAUUCUUUGAUAUGAAAUGUUGCUCUCUCAAGAGAUCAAACAUUGAAAAGCAUUAUCAACGAAUGACUCACCAUUACGACCUUCUCAAUGGCUUCAAUGAUAUUAAUCUCAGAUACACGUAUAUAGCUUCUCUCCCAAAACAACUUCAGCCAGAACUACAUCGCUUUCUUACAGCUUCCCGUAGAGAUAUGAAUACUAUCUCUAUUGGAGAAAUCCAUCAACUUACUCUGGCAUGUUUAGAAAAGAUGUGUGACCAACAGAAACUAUUUAAAGAUAUCAUUGACAACAGUAAGACGCUAAAGAAUGUUUGUCAAAAGUUCCACCUUUCCAUCAAAUGCAAAGAGAAGCAUUGUGUUUGUAAACCUAAGAAGAAGAACUACCAACAAAAGUUUUUCUCUUCUAAGUUCCCUUCCAAGAAAAAGGGAAAAAGAUCUGUCAGAUACUUUAGAAGAAGAAAACGGGGCAUGCCAUUAAAAAAAUAUUAUAGGUGCUACAUCUGUGGUAACAACGGAUAUUACGCAAAGAAUUGUCCAAAGAACCCUAAUAAAGCAGUUAAGCUGAUACAACACAUCCAACAGGGUACCCAAAUGUCUCUAGCUGAUGAUGACAUUGAAUCUCUUUUCUCUGAACAAGAUGAACCUGAUGGAAACACAGUUUUUGCCCUAGUAGAAGAUGAUCAAGAAUCGAGCACCACUUCGGAUGAUUCAGAUUCAGAACCUGAGAACCCUUAUCCAUUACUGCAUCUGACCCAACAGUUAACCCACUCUCAACAAAGUCCGACCCAACAAACCAUUCCUGUUCCACUGGUCUCCCUACAUGUACUGCCCAGUAAAUUUUCAAGGCCCAUUUCAACUAUUGGAUUUCUUGAUACAGGAGUUCAUAAAAGUAUGAUGAAUUCAGUCAUUUUACCUCCAAAAGAUUGGGUCUAACAUACAGAAUAUUUUAAGGCAGCUGAUGGAAAAGUUUUCAAGAUCAGUCUCAUUACUAAGAAGCUCAUUGGUGUUCAGUUCUUCCCUAAUUUCAUAAUAUGGAUUAAGGUCAUUGGGUCAGACCUUCCAGACAAAGAUAUCCUCAUUGAGUUUGAUAUUUACCAACAAGCGAAGCAACUAAAGAUUCUGCCCACUGGCUUAAAAUUUAAAAUACAUUUUCAGCCUUUUACCACAAUUCCAAAACUCUUUUCAUUAGCAGAAGCUCCACUUGCAUUUCAAGAUCAAAAGGAUCUACUCCUAAAAUCAUGUGAUGAUUCGCAUGCCGAUUUCUUUCAUCCUCACCCAUUGUGGAAAAAUACUGAGUUCUUCAUUCACUUUCCCUUCAAAUUGAAUGAAGACGUAAACCCUAGAAAUGCCUCAUAUCCGGGAAUGACUCCACUAGACCUGGUUCUUGCUCAAGAAGAAUGUAGAUAACUUCUCCAGUAGGGUCUCAUUGAGCCCACAAGUUCUCCAUGGGCUUGCCAAGCCUUUUAUCUGGAAAAAAGAUAUGAAAAGCUUAGAGGCAAAAAGAGAUUAGUCAUAGACUAUAAGCCUCUCAGCCACUUUCUCCAAGACGACAAGUUUCCUCUGCCUAAAAUAGAUGCACUAUUCACUCAGUUACAUGAAGCUCACAUCUUCUCUAAGUUUGAUUUCAAAGCAGGCUUCUGGCAGUUAGGCAUCCACCCUGCAGAUA
rnacentral:misc_RNA from 1 species